rnacentral:rRNA from 1 species
AGCUCCAAUAGCGUAUAUUAAAGUUGUUGCGGUUAAAAAGCUCGUAGUUGGAUUUCUGCUGAGGACAACCGGUCCGCCCUCUGGGUGAGCAUCUGGUUUGGCUUUGGCAUCUUUCUGGAUAGCGCAAUGCACUUAACUGUGUGGUGCUAAGUCCAGGACUUUUACUUUGAGGAAAUUAGAGUGUUUCAAGCAGGCACACGCCUUGAAUACAUUAGCAUGGAAUAAUAAGACAGGAUCUCGGUUCUAUUUUGUUGGUUUCUAGAGCUGAGAUAAUGAUUAAUAGGGAUAAUCGGGGGCACUCGUAUUUAACUGUCAGAGGUGAAAUUCUUGGAUUUGUUAAAGACGGACGACUGCGAAAGCAUUUGCCAAGGAUGUUUUCA